rnacentral:rRNA from 1 species
AGCGAACGCUGGCGGCAGGCCUAACACAUGCAAGUCGAACGAACCUUUCGGGGUUAGUGGCGCACGGGUGAGUCACACGUGGGUAAGCUGCCCUAGACUUCGGGAUAACCUCAGGCAACUGGGGCUAAUACGGGAUAGUACCUCCUGCUGCAUUGUGGGGGAUGGGAGGUUGCGGCGGUUGGGGAUGGAUUGGCGGGUUAUCUGCUUGUUGGUGGGGUAGUGGCUUACCAAGGCUUUGACGGAUAGCCGGCCUGGGAGGGUGGCCGGCCACAGUGGGACUGAGGGAGGGCGCAGACGGCAACGGGAGGCAACGGUGGGGAGUCUUACCCAGCGGGAGGGAGUCGGUGGCGGAGGCGCCGCGGGUGGGAAGACGUUUUUUGGGUAGAAAACAGCAUUCGCUUGAUACGAAGCGUUAGUGACGGUACCGGGAGAAGAAGCACCGGCUAACUACGUG